rnacentral:rRNA from 1 species
UACGUAGGGUGCAAGCGUUAUCCGGAUUUACUGGGUGUAAAGGGCGAGUAGACGGCGAUGCAAGUCAGAUGUGAAAUGCUAGGGCUUAACCUUAGAACUGCAUCUGAAACUGUAUUGCUAGAGUGCAGGAGAGGUAAACGGAAUUCCUAGUGUAGCGGUGAAAUGCGUAGAUAUUAGGAGGAACAUCAGUGGCGAAGGCGGUUUACUGGACUGUAACUGACGUUGAGGCGCGAAAGCGUGGGGAGCAA